GUGUCUAUUCUACCGCCAACGCUUCUCUUUUACUCUUCUUCGUACUCUGUUCUCCUUCGAGUCUUCUCGAGCAUCACGCAGCUCCGAUCCAUAUCUCCCAGUUGAAGACGUUGUUGCUCUAUAUAUAUAAACACUUUCAACAGUUGGGAGAGAGCGAGAGAGGAAGGUAGGCUAAACCCUCGCAUACACGCUGCCCCUUUCUCCUCCUCUGGGGAGAUUCUCUUGCUAUCCUUUUCUUUCGAAAGGGGCUGUUACGUGGGAGAAUGGUUGGAGGGAGGCCUCUGACUGGGAAUUUGGAUGUUUGGUUUAGGAGCCUUAUGGUUGUCGACGGCCGAGGCAAAAUGGAAACUGGGGCUGCCAUAACAGGGUGGAAGGACCUUCCGAUGGAACUUUUGUUGAGGGUUCUAGUACUUGGUGAUGAUCGGAUGGUAAUCGUCGCAUCAGGUGUCUGCACUGGUUGGAGAGAUGCGAUUUGCUUGGGGCUUAGUCAUCUCUGCUUGUCAUGGUGCAAAGAACACAUGAAUGAUCUUGUCCUGUCGCUUGCUCCUAAGUUCACAAAACUUCAAGUGCUAAGUUUGCGGCAAAAUAAACCUCAACUUGAGGAUAAUGCUGUUCAGACCAUUGCAAAUUAUUGUCAUGAUUUGUGUGAUUUGGAUCUCAGCAAAGGCCAUAAACUAAGUGAUAUCUCAUUGUAUGCUUUAGCACAUGGAUGUCCGAGGCUUUUAAGACUCAACUUCAGUGGUUGCACAGCAUUCAGUGAUUCUGCCCUGGCAUAUCUAACAAGCUUCUGCACAAAACUGAAAUACCUGAAUCUCUGUGGAUGUGUGAAAGCUGCAUCUGAUCGGGCUUUGCAGGCAAUUGCAUACAACUGUAGGCAGUUGCAGUCGCUAAUCCUUGGCUGGUGUGAAGGUGUUACUGAUAAAGGAGUGAUCUGUUUGGCAUUAGGUUGCCCGGAUCUCAGAGCCAUUGAUUUGUGCGGCUGUGUCCUUAUAACUGAUGAAAGUGUGAUUGCUUUGGCAAAUGGAUGCUGUGGACUGAGAUCCUUAGGCUUAUACUACUGCCAGAACAUAACUGACAAAGCAAUGUACUCACUGGCCAACAGCCGUGUGAAGAGCAAGCACUGUUCAUGGGCCUCUAUUCAUGGAAGCAGUAAUGAUGAAGAUGGACUGAUGAAACUCAACAUCAGCCAGUGCACUGCCCUCACCCCUCCUGCUGUUCAGGCAGUGUGUGACUCCUUCCCGGCACUCCACACCUGUCCUGACAGGCAUUCUCUCAUUAUUAGCGGCUGCCUCAGCCUGACUGCAGUGCACUGCGCUUGUGCCGUUCAGAACCAUCGCCCAAACAAAGCAGGACUCUCUCACUAACCUUUCGGAAAGUUUACAAUGGUAAAGAUGGCAUAGCUGCACUUGAAAGGAUAUUGAAGAAGAAAAAUGGUUGUACAUAUCAGGACUUUUUGAGUCUAUCCUCGAGGUGUGGUCGGUUAAAUAUCGUUUGGGCUUUGGGCUUUGUGUCACUCGCCUAGAGGAGCUGGUGGUGGUGUGCAGCUUUCAAGUGAUCCUUAAUGACGGUUAUGAUGGUGGUGGUGGUGGCGAAGGUGACAGCUGGAGGUUGAGGCAAUCAAGAGAAAGUUGUUGCGACUCAGGGGUGCAUAAAGGUUUUACAUAUGUGUUUGGUUGACCACCACUUCAGGAGCAGGUUUACCAGCAGUAGAUUGUGUUUGGUAUUUAUUAUUUUGUAGUAGUUUAUUAUGUUUAUAAUUUUGAGGGCUGGGUAAUUUCUUUCAUGUUUUUUAUUUUAUUUAUAUUCAUGUUGGUUUGUAUUAGAAUUACCGUUAUUUGUAUGUAUUAGUUAUUUGAACUUCUAUUAAUGAAUUGACACUUUAUUUCA